CAUGUCCGAGUGUUUGUUGUGUGUCUGCAGAGGGGAGGAGACGCGCUUCACUGCUAAGAGGGAAUCUGAGACAAACAAGCAACUGAUUGGUUUUCCUGAGGUUCCAUUGUCCUCCCGUGUAUCUAUCAUUCGUCUGUUUUUUCCACCAACACUCCUUCACGUCCUUUCUGGCUUGACGAUGACGUUUGUCUGGAUUUAUAACUGAUCUCGCUCUGCAGCUUCACUGAUGUGAAGACCACUGGACCGGAGCAGAGCAAAGACUGAGCCAAAGACCCUCAGGACUGUGCAGAGCACCAGGCUGGAUCUUAGAUCUGCUUCAUUUAAUAGAGGGACAGGAUUUAAAGAGGUUCCAGGGCUGACCCAAACCUGGCAGACCAGUCCAAUCAUCAUCAUCAUCAUCAUCACCAUUUGACAUCAGACUCUUCACCAACAAGAGGCAAUUCCACCCUAUCACAUUAAAAGGAUGUUGACCCUGUAAGUCAAACACCUUCCAAAUCGCCAUGACCAGCGUCAACUCUCCAGCCUGUCUGCUCGCCCGCAACCACUUUUAUAAAAAUUUACCUUCCAGUCCGGAGCCUUCACCGGCAGCGUUCACCUGUCAGAACGACUCCGUCAGCCAGAGACAGGUCACCCUCUGGGUCACCAUGGCAACGCCUCCUGCGUUAUCAGGUGGAAUUGAAAACAAAAGCUUGUGCAUCAACAUUGUGCUCGGUUUUCCCUCCUCUCGUUCAUCCUCCACCUCUAAACGGUCCAGCCCCGCUGAGUGGGGCGGCAAGUAGAGAGGACCAAGUGCACCUCACUGCAAAGGACGUUAAGAAACCCACAUCGACUAACUUCCCGUUUGUCUUGACGGCUCAGGAUUGGACAGCCUGGAUCAAAUGGACAUAUGUGGAUAAAAUGGACAAAUAUCACGUAAAAAGGACAUUGAAAUAUCGCAAGAGGGUCAGUAAUGUCAAAGACAAUUGAUGGUGUGAAAAUGGGCUUUGAGUGGACAGGCACUCAUUUCAUUAAUGUUUUUUUUCCAGAAGUGAUUUGGGUAAUUAAGUGCAAUAGGUGUAACCAAUAUAAAUAAAGCUGCAAUGAUUACUUCAAUGAUCAAUUCGAAAAUUGAAAGAAAGUGAAUAUGCAAUAAUUUUGAAAAUUCCUUAGCAUAUGAUAAUAUGUCACUGUUCUGUUUUCUGAUGUUUUAUAGACCAAAAGGAUAAACUGAGAAAAUAAACUACAGAAACAUUAAGUUUACAUUAAGAUACCAGCCGGAUACUGACUUUGGAUUAAAACAAAGAGGGGCAAAUAUGCACAUGCACAGUUUGGUGAUGAUUAACCUUCCAGGAUCAUACCAUGCCAUGGUUAUAUGACUUUCAGUUAAAAAACUGCUGAAAGUAUCAUUUUAGCCUUAAAGGGUAACAGGUCUGGGAUUAAGCAAACAGUAGGAACAGCAUGUACACCAAGGAUCUCCGAUGAGCAAUCGCACGGAGCAUCAAAGAGAAAUCUAUCACCUUGUUACUUAUAAGACAGAAGGAAUACGUUCAUGUCCUUCUGUCCUGUGUGCAAAAUAUGGAAGAGAUUAUUUUCAUAUGGCAGAAGAUAAUGAAGAUAAACAAAGCCGAUUGUAUGAAUUCUUGUUUUACAUUAUCCCAGAAUGAGUCUUUUAGCCAGGUCCGCUCAACAGAGGCUGCCACCAUGUUUUUACAGUAGCCAACAAAGGACUGAAUGCCUUGUUUUGAUGUGAACUGAAGGCUGCAUAGGUUCCCCUCAAGGGAAAAAAACUUAACAAUAUUAUAGCGAGAAGAGAAACCCAACAGUUCACACAAUGAGCAAGCACCAUUGGCAUCAGUAGAGAGAAAAAAAAAAAAGACACUGCAGUCCAGCCACCAUCAUUGUUCUCUCAGUGACAAGUUUCACACAUUUGUGGCUUUGUAUUAAUGUUCAAAGAAUGACCACAGUCUGAGAAAAGAAUCAGCCUGGCAAGCGGACAGCUCACCUGUGUGAAACCUGGUGUUCAAGCUGGAGCAGAUAGUUCACAAUUCAACAUGCUCAGGGUUCUUAACUCCAAUCAUAGAAUAUUAAAGAACAAUUCCUCACUUGUGAUUAUCAAAUAAAACAAUAUACAGUAA